rnacentral:rRNA from 1 species
GACGAACGCUGGCGGCGUGCUUAACACAUGCAAGUCGAGCGAGGUCCAUCCAGUGGCAACACUGGUGAAGACCUAGCGGCGAACGGGUGAGUAACACGUGAGCAAUCUGCCCCGAAGACUGGGAUAACACCGGGAAACCGGUGCUAAUACCGGAUGUCCUCCUCUGGUCGCAUGGCCUAGGGAGGAAAUGGAUUCCGCUUCGGGAGGAGCUCGCGGGCUAUCAGCUUGUUGGUGAGGUAACGGCUCACCAAGGCGACGACGGCUAGCUGGUCUGAGAGGACGACCAGCCACACUGGGACUGAGACACGGCCCAGACUCCUACGGGAGGCAGCAGUGGGGAAUCUUGCGCAAUGGGCGAAAGCCUGACGCAGCAACGCCGC